GUCCACGCUGUAAACGAUGGGUACUAGGCGUCGGGGGAGCGACCCCCUCGGUGCCGUCGCUAACGCAGUAAGUACCCCGCCUGGGGAGUACGGCCGCAAGGCUGAAACUCAAAGGAAUUGACGGGGCCCGCACAAGCGGUGGAGCAUGUGGUUUAAUUCGAUGCAACGCGAAGAACCUUACCUGGGCUUGACAUGCUGGUGAAAGCCGGUGGAAACAUCGGCCCCUCUUCGGAGCGCCAGCACAGGUGCUGCAUGGCUGUCGU
rnacentral:rRNA from 1 species